rnacentral:rRNA from 1 species
UACGUAGGGGGCAAGCGUUGUCCGGAAUCAUUGGGCGUAAAGAGCGUGUAGGCGGUCCGGUAAGUCGGCUGUGAAAGUCCAGGGCUCAACCCUGGGAUGCCGGUGGAUACUGUCGGACUAGAGUACGGAAGAGGCGAGUGGAAUUCCUAGUGUAGCGGUGAAAUGCGUAGAUAUUAGGAAGAACACCGAUAGCGAAGGCAGCUUGCUGGGACGUUACUGACGCUAAGGCGCGAAAGCGUGGGGAGCGAACAGG